CUCGAACGCCUGCAAACAUAGCGGAUAACUGUACAAAGGCAACCAGAGGGCGCGACCAUCAGGCAGGACGAGAAACACAUCAAAAUAUAAGUUUUAUAUCAUUACACCGACCUGGGGUCGGCGACGCUCAUCCGAAAUAGUGGACUGAUAAAACAGUCUGUGCACAACGCUAGAUUUGGACCGGGGGUCUACCUAACUGAAAUGCAACCCACUGCGUCCUUAAACGAGAUUAUUUUCAACAACUAUGACGACGACAUGUGACAAGGGCACAGUGGAAUCAACUGAUCGUGCAAAGAGGAAUGAAAUGUGAAGUUUGCAUCGAGCUGAAAAUUAGCAGCCGUCUGUUUCAAGAAAAGGUCGUGCAGUGCGAAACUGAUCGGAACGUCUUCUUGUAUAAGGGGGACUUGAUCUUAGCUCAAUGACUGAGUUUGUAUUCCGUGUUCGCUAAAACAUGUUUAAUAGAUCGCGUCAAUUCUAUUAUACACAUAUAACAUUUCAUACGUUUGAUUAGAUGUGCGGUCAUCUGCAUUUCUUUUGGUCUACGAGAAAGUGACACAGCACACACAAUCAUGUACAUGGAAAUAUAUCAGUAGAAAUAAAUAUAUAAAAAGGUAACUCGAGUUAUG